GAUUGAACGCUGGCGGCAGGCCUAACACAUGCAAGUCGGACGGUAGCACAGAGGAGCUUGCUCCUUGGGUGACGAGUGGCGGACGGGUGAGUAAUGUCUGGGGAUCUGCCCGAUAGAGGGGGAUAACCACUGGAAACGGUGGCUAAUACCGCAUAACGUCGCAAGACCAAAGAGGGGGACCUUCGGGCCUCUCACUAUCGGAUGAACCCAGAUGGGAUUAGCUAGUAGGCGGGGUAAUGGCCCACCUAGGCGACGAUCCCUAGCUGGUCUGAGAGGAUGACCAGCCACACUGGAACUGAGACACGGUCCAGACUCCUACGGGAGGCAGCAGUGGGGAAUAUUGCACAAUGGGCGCAAGCCUGAUGCAGCCAUGCCGCGUGUAUGAAGAAGGCCUUCGGGUUGUAAAGUACUUUCAGCGGGGAGGAAGGCGGUGCGGUUAAUAACCGUGCCGAUUGACGUUACCCGCAGAAGAAGCACCGGCUAACUCCGUGCCAGCAGCCGCGGUAAUACGGAGGGUGCAAGCGUUAAUCGGAAUUACUGGGCGUAAAGCGCACGCAGGCGGUCUGUUAAGUCAGAUGUGAAAUCCCCGGGCUUAACCUGGGAACUGCAUUUGAAACUGGCAGGCUUGAGUCUUGUAGAGGGGGGUAGAAUUCCAGGUGUAGCGGUGAAAUGCGUAGAGAUCUGGAGGAAUACCGGUGGCGAAGGCGGCCCCCUGGACAAAGACUGACGCUCAGGUGCGAAAGCGUGGGGAGGAACAGGAUUAGAUACCCUGGUAGUCCACGCCGUAAACGAUGUCGACUUGGAGGUUGUUCCCUUGAGGAGUGGCUUCCGGAGCUAACGCGUUAAGUCGACCGCCUGGGGAGUACGGCCGCAAGGUUAAAACUCAAAUGAAUUGACGGGGGCCCGCACAAGCGGUGGAGCAUGUGGUUUAAUUCGAUGCAACGCGAAGAACCUUACCUACUCUUGACAUCCACGGAAUCUGGCAGAGAUGCCUCAGUGCCUUCGGGAACCGUGAGACAGGUGCUGCAUGGCUGUCGUCAGCUCGUGUUGUGAAAUGUUGGGUUAAGUCCCGCAACGAGCGCAACCCUUAUCCUUUGUUGCCAGCGAUUAGCUCGGGAACUCAAAGGAGACUGCCGGUGAUAAACCGGAGGAAGGUGGGGAUGACGUCAAGUCAUCAUGGCCCUUACGAGUAGGGCUACACACGUGCUACAACGGCGCAUACAAAGAGAAGCGACCUCGCGAGAGCAAGCGGACCUCACAAAGUGCGUCGUAGUCCGGAUCGGAGUCUGCAACUCGACUCCGUGAAGUCGGAAUCGCUAGUAAUCGUGGAUCAGAAUGCCACGGUGAAUACGUUCCCGGGCCUUGUACACACCGCCCGUCACACCAUGGGAGUGGGUUGCAAAAGAAGUAGGUAGCUUAACCUUCGGGAGGGCGCUUACCAC
rnacentral:rRNA from 1 species